AACGAACGCUGGCGGCAUGCCUAACACAUGCAAGUCGAACGAUGCCUUCGGGCAUAGUGGCGCACGGGUGCGUAACGCGUGGGAAUCUGCCUUUCGGUUCGGAAUAACUCAGGGAAACUUGAGCUAAUACCGGGUAACGUCGCAAGACCAAAGAUUUAUCACCGAAAGAUGAGCCCGCGUAGGAUUAGCUAGUUGGUGAGGUAAAGGCUCACCAAGGCGACGAUCCUUAGCUGGUCUGAGAGGAUGAUCAGCCACACUGGGACUGAGACACGGCCCAGACUCCUACGGGAGGCAGCAGUGGGGAAUAUUGGACAAUGGGCGAAAGCCUGAUCCAGCAAUGCCGCGUGAGUGAUGAAGGCCUUAGGGUUGUAAAGCUCUUUUACCCGGGAAGAUAAUGACGGUACCGGGAGAAUAAGCCCCGGCUAACUCCGUG
rnacentral:rRNA from 1 species